AAACCAACGCAGCACAAACAAACAUUUUUGCAGCACAAACGGAGCACAACCGAAUGAGACUAUUUUGCUGACGUUUUGUGUUGGGUUGGGGGCCAAGUUCACUGAGGUAGACAAGUUCCCUUGUUUUGUGUUACACAGAAAAAAAAAGUUUCAAACUAUACUGAAGGUGAGUUCAUUAUAAUUGUUGUGUGAACAAUACACUGUUCACUGAUUUCCUGUAGAAUCAGUAACUUACUGGCAGCAGUUCGCCAGUAGCUUACUGUAAAUUAAUUACGGGGAAAAUACCGUAUUUACAUUUACAGCACCAUUCAUCUAGCUGUACAUGUAUUUGCAGUAUUGUUUAUUGUAUAAAAUACUGUAAUUUUUACAGUGCAACUUCAGUAUACAGUAACAUGCAUAAAUGUCCUACAGUAAAAUACAGUUCAUAUUACGGUUAAAUACUGUGUAAUUUAGAAACAUUGUUAACAGUGUACAUUUAAUGCUUUUACUGGACUAAUAUUUUAAAUGGUGUAUGUAGUUUUACUCAAGCGCUUGAUUUGUUUACUGUGUUUUUUCCCUUGAGAUUCAUACAUCCGGCAACUCUGAUGAGCAGUCCUGGGUUCUUCAUCUAGUCUGUGUGAGUCUCUUUAUGUAAAAAUAUAACUGCAUAACCAUGAAAACACAUAAUAAGAUGCUUCUAUUUUCUGUCAGACUUUAGUGAGCGACCUGUUUGUGUGCCACGAGAACAAUGGAACCAAAGCUUCACCCCCCAGCCCCCAUCCAAAAGUGACAGAAAGCAAGGGUAAAACAUCACCUUGUGUUGCUGCUGCUGGUGUGUUCCAUAAAUUAGACAAUGCUGGGUUUUAUAGCUGAGGCCCUCCAACAUGUACUUUGUGUGUUUAUGGCCUAUCUAUCGCAUACUGGUAUUAAAAUGCUGGACAGGUCUGAUACCUCUGCCUGUCAUACCGCUCUGAUUUUAAUAAUACAAUAAAGCUUCUGCCAUACACACACACUCACACACACACAUACACACAGGUUAUGCACAACGAGAGUGAAUUAAUUCUGUGAAGAGAGGAAAAGGGUUAAUAUAUGGUUCUGUUAUUGUGGCUCAUUUAUACUCUGACCCCCCUGGAUGCUACAUUUAGUCUUAAAGCAGGAGCCAAACAGGUCAGAUUAAUCUCAUUUUACUACCGUCAUUCCUUCCCUUACCAUCAUCCGUAUUUUGAGAUGCAGUCUUCAUUCACAGGUUUAAAACUGUCAGUCGAAAUGGAGAGAUGGCCUGUUGAUGGGGGAGAUGUGGAAGACAUGCUAAACCACUGCAUGGCUCUUGAGGAAAAGCAUUUAAGGAAUGUAAAUUCCGAAUGGUCUUCUGAAGCUGUUCCCAGUUAGCUGGGACAGUGACGCUGGACAAGAAAAAGUACACUCUGUUCAGAAGAGGCUGUGAUGUCAAUAAGAUGAGUUUGGAUCUCUUCCCGAGAAUGGCCGUCAACAUGUGUUAAUGAAGCAGAAUGAACGGCCUUGUCAACGAACAGCAGAAAUGUAAUCUCCAUGAAGACGCUUCAAAGAUGUGCAUCAGUGCCAUUUAAGCAGUUACAUAUUACUGACUAAAGCCCCCGCUCUUUUACCUCAAUCUGUCUUGGAUAGGACACCUCAACUACUCAAAUUUUGUAAGUAAAUUUAUUAUUUUAUUUGGAUAAAACCUAAACGUGAUCACAUAUUAGCCUAUACAUGCAAUUGUUUUUGUUUGCUCAAUCCAAAACAACAAAAUGCAUGAUGUAUAUUGGUUCAAUUCCCUUCUUAUCUAGCUAUAUUAUUAGAUGUAGAGUAUUUUUCCAAAUGAAUUACUCCCCCAAAAAAUAUCAUGCAUAGGAUCACAAUCAUUAUGUUUCAUGGGAGCCCUGUUAAAUACACUUAAAUAAAGGUAUCGAUUGCUGAAGCAAGUAAAACAUUACAGGAGAUCCUUCAUUGUUUAAUGGUAAGCUUAAGGUGAAACGCCGUCGCCUUUAAUUGAAUUUCUAACCUAAGCAGGAUCUAGCGUUUAGCCAAUUAUAAUGUAUUAGACAAUUAUAAUGUAUUAUGCCUGACCUGGUCUACACUGGUUAUAGCCAUCACUGUGUUGCAUGGUUCUGGAGACUCUUUGCUGUUUUACAUGCUUAAAUUUCACUCUUGGAUUUCAUUAUAGAUUGCACAGUCACCCACUGUUAAAGAUGCAUUGUAUAUUAUAUGUUGUAUUAUGCUUUGUAUAUUACAUGCUCAUUGUUCACCUUUCAAGUUUAGCCUUUCA